UACGGGGGGGGCAAGCGUUGUUCGGAAUUACUGGGCGUAAAGGGCUCGUAGGCGGCCAACUAAGUCAGACGUGAAAUCCCUCGGCUUAACCGGGGAACUGCGUCUGAUACUGGAUGGCUUGAAUCCGGGAGAGGGAUGCGGAAUUCCAGGUGUAGCGGUGAAAUGCGUAGAUAUCUGGAGGAACACCGGUGGCGAAGGCGGCAUCCUGGACCGGCAUUGACGCUGAGGUGCGAAAGCUAGGGGAGCAAACAGG
rnacentral:rRNA from 1 species